rnacentral:tRNA from 1 species
GCGGGUGUGGCGGAAUUGGUAGACGCGCCAGAUUUAGGUUCUGGUAUCUUAGGAUGUGAAGGUUCAAGUCCUUUCACCCGCACCA